rnacentral:pre_miRNA from 1 species
ACAAACCCUGAGUUUUCAUGUUGCAUGAAUUUUUUUUUAUAAUUAGUAUUUUCAUUGUUGUUAGAUAAUAAAACAUGAUUAAUAUUUUAUACGUGACUUAUCUUUUUAAUUUUUUUCAUAAUUUAUUCAAAUAAGACGGACGGUCAAACGUUGGAUACGGAAACAUAGG